AACGUAGGAGACAAACGUUAUCCGGAGUUACUGGGCGUAAAGGGCGUGUAGGUGGUAUCGUAAGUCUGGCGUGAAAUUUCUCGGCUUAACCGAGGCAGGUCGUCGGAUACUGCGAGGCUAGAGGACGGUAGAGGCGUGUGGAAUUCCCGGUGUAGUGGUGGAAUGCGUAGAUAUCGGGAGGAACACCAGUGGCGAAGGCGGUUGCCUGGAGCUUUGCUGACGCUGAUGCGCGAAAGCGUGGGGAGCGAUCCGG
rnacentral:rRNA from 1 species